rnacentral:lncRNA from 1 species
UCAUUAACAUAGAUUUACACUUUAUUUUAAAUUUGCAUCCUGAGAUAAUAAAAUUUUAUCUGACAAGUGAACAAUGACAGAAGCAGCAGUGAAAGUUUCGGAGAGGCAGGUAUCCUUCAUUUUGGCACAGCUGUAUAUAGAUUGAGUUUUUCCAGGGAAGUCAUUCCUGGACUCAAGGGAGAAAAAAUGAAUUCAUUCCACAGGCUAUGUAACAAUGCAAGAUGCAUGAAAGUUCUUAGUUUGGAUGAACAUAUCCGCUAUUAUUCUUUUCUGGUAAAGCUGUCCCAACAGGAAUCCUCUGACAAAAAGUUGAAAUCCUAGGCUUCUCCACCAGAUAUUUUUAUCAAUGCCCACUCUCUAGUUACCUGGAUAUCCUGUUCUUGCAGCCAGAUUCAUAUUUGUAUGUGGUUAGUCCAAGGAGGGCAAAUUCGCUCGUAGAUUAUAUACUUUCAAACACUUGUUACUUGUUUCAAAGUCCAGGCAUUAAAACAAUUUUACACUAUUUGCGUACUAGAAAAAAUGGAAAAUAAAAAGUCGAGAUAAAAACAAAGAAAUAAAAGAACAUUUGAGAAAUUAUUGCCUUGAUUCAUCAUGUUGAAUUUAUACACAGAACUACUUUAAGAGUCAGAAAUUGAUAUUUAGUCCAAUGCUAGAAUAUGACAUUAUAACAUUUUCACCAUAAGAAUCCCUUCAUUAUUCUUUUCCCAUGUUCCCAAGUAUUUAAUAAGUUGCACAUAAUAGGAUUUCUUAUUUUAUUAUUAAUCAAAAACAUACUGCCAUUCACAGCUUUUGAGAGAAUAUAGGCAAAAUGAAUGGAAAUUCAAUGUCUUAAUUGACUUGUGAAGCAGGAAUAUUAUGGGUAAAUGUAUAAUUUCUAAUAUACUUUUUGAAAUAUUACAAAAAGCUCAAGGAUACCCUCCACUGCUAUCAUCUGCUGAAGUUGGGAAUCACUGAUUUACAUCCACCUGCUUUUCCUCCCUAAGUAUGUAUUAACAUAAUACAAUUACCCACGUUUAACACAUAGGAGAUUAAUAACAAAAUUUACUAUUAAAACAAUAGACCAAGUGCAAUAGUCAUUCUGUAGGACCUGACUGAAAAAGAAAACAUAGCAUGGAUUUAAAGAAAUCUAUUUAGAAAUUAUAUAAUUAUGAUAUCCAGUAUAUCUUUCAGUCAACUUCAAAGCACACUAAUAUAUGAAAAUAUCCUCAAUUCCCCUGUGAGGUAGGUCCAGAUUAUUGUCCCCACUUCGACAAUGAGGACGUGAGGUACAGAGGAAUUAAGCAGCAGAGCCAAUAAUUAAACCAGAAGUGACUUGUAUUUGAGUCCCAUACCACUUUCCUUUCCACCUAAUUUUAUCAAUUUGUUCCAACAGAUCUUUUUGAGGGUAUGGAAUUUGAUUAGACACUAAAGUAAAUGUUGGAUAGGAUAUGAAAUCUUUACAUAAAUGCCAAAGUGGGUCCUCCAAUAUUUCCAUUGUUGUUACAGCUAAAAUUCUUGCCUGAAUACCAACUGCAUAGACAGAUUCUACACAGGCAAAGGACACAGACCUCAGUGCUCAGUUCCUAGGAAAACUACAUUUACUCUUAGCAUCACCAAGGAACUAAGGUCUAGCAAGCAUCAGGUUCUUGGAGUCUGUGUGAUAAUUAACACGUCAGCCAGUCGGCAAAUCAAACUUUUACUGCAUGCAAGGCACUGUGAGAGUUUCCACCAAGGACAGUAGAUCUGAGAAUAAUCAUUCUGAGAUUCUAUAGAGUAAAAAUGUCCUAAGAAUUCCUUGAAUCACAGAAUGUUAAGUGAUCUCUAAUUUUUUGUCCAGCUCUAGGUUCCACCUCAUCAUUUUACAGAAGAGACAGACAUGCAAUUAAGAUGACCUGCCUGGAGCCCACAAUAUUAGAUCAUUUCCUCAUAUAGUAUGAAUUUGACAAAGUUCACAGAAAAUGGAACAUACUCACAGGGUGCCAUCAAAACAAAAAGGCUGGCUCAGAAUCAGGUAAGAAAAAUUUGGGGCAAGAUAAGAUCAUUCAUUUUUACAUACAGAUAUAUAUCAAUUGUUUUAGUCCACAUACUACAUGAACAGGUAUUAAUAAAACCUAUUCAUUUUUAUGGAAAAUUUCCCAAUUGUUUGCUAUUUAAAGGAACCCAAAUAAUUUGACAGUUGUUGCAAAAUAUUUUUAAAGUAUACUUUUAUAGGCAUGAGAAUCUAAUUUCAAUAAAUUUGAGCACUUAUAAUCAAAUUAGCAAAAAGUAUUUCUACUAUGUGAAACUGCUCCAGUUAAUCAGGUGAAUAUAAUUUCUAUAUCCUCCUAGGUCAAUAUAGUACAUUUUAAUACAAUAUUGUUUGGGAGCUUUAUGUUCAAGUAGUGAGGUUUUAUUUUUUUAAAUGGCAGCUUAUUUGUAAACAAAAUAAAAGUGCUAAUGAUCUUUUAAAGCUUUCAUACAUUUGUUCAAAGGCUUACACGUUUUUAAACUUUAUUCAAAUUUCAUCAAAAAUGGUAGAUAAAACAGUUUGAUUGCUCAGAUAUUA